rnacentral:lncRNA from 1 species
AUGACAAGAUGAAUAGGUAAAGCUGUCUACAGGAGGAAACACCUUAAAAAGAACAACAAUAAGAAUCAUGAAGAGAUGAACCUGAGCUAUGAACAUGGAUCUAGGAGGAAUCUUCAUGUAGUGACCGAGUUUGAAGUCUUGCAAAAAGGUAAUCCCUUGUUUCAUACUUAUGUAUCCAUACACUUUAAAGCACAUGUUAGCAACAGGGUACCCUGGGUAUAUGUAGCCGAUGAUAUAUUCUGUAAUCACGUUCAAAGCUGGUGUCUUCAAAAGAAAAUUUACCCAUGUCAAAAUACACAAAACUAACAGAAUAUAUGGUGAAAUCAACAAGCAAUCAUUAUCUGAGUGGAAGAAAAUUAUUCUCAAUUAGGUGAGCAAAUAAUCUGCAAAAUUUAGAUAAAAUUGCAUGAUAUAUAUAUUUUAAAAAUACAAAACUUGUGAAAUAGCAAAACUAUACCUGAUUUGUUGUGGCAGUAAUAACUCCGACAGGGAGAGUGAAAAAAAUGGCUAGACCACAAGCUAACAAAACACCCCACCAUGGCAACUGGAGUUGAUCAUUGUAAUACUGGCAUAUAAAUAUGGUUGCUGCAAUGUUUACUAUAAGGAUACACGUAAACCACCAUUCAGGUACUUGCUUGUAUUUUCUCAUCAGCUUCGUAUGCACAUCCAUCUUUGUCUCUUGGAAGGCAGAUUUGCUUCGUUGCAAAAUUUCGCUGCACCACUAAGAUAAGUCACUUUAACUUGCUGAAUGUAAUGAAUUCGCAGAUAUCAGUUUAUGUAGUCUGUGCCUGAUGCAUAAAAUGACCAUUCAGUAACACUUCUAAUUACAUGCCCUUUAGUAAAGAGCAGAAUUCACUUGCAUUCUAAAUGUGAUUAAGCUUUAUAUGGUAGAGCAAAGCCUCUAGGUCGAGCAAUUGCAAUCGAAGAGACUGUUAUGCCUG